ACGGUUUAGAUAGUUUUCGACUUGCAUUGAUCACGGCCAGCGUCGACCCUAUAAUUCACAAUUUGUUUCUUUCUUGCCGUUUAUUUCAUAAUGUGAACAAUUAAUAAGUCGGGUCCUCCGGGAUAUGCAUUCCAACCAAGGUGGAAUGCGGAAGAGUUUGGAGAACCGUCGAAGAAUAGAAGAAGAAGAGGUGGAGGAAGAUCCGAUCGUACCACAGCUCCAGCCAGCGGCCGAUCGAGUGGGGAGAAGUGACUGGUGUCGGUGCGGGAACUGCCCGGUGAUUCCGACGACCAGAGAGAGCAUUUGCUGUCGGGACAUUGGCGAUGUAUGCGACCUGCAAGAAGAUGGGUGCAUCAUCCAGAUCCUGAUUUCAUCAGUGUUUGCCUCAAGCCACUGUUGUCCCGAGGGUGUUUUCUGUCGCAAGAAGGGACAUAAGGGGACGCCGGGCAAGGGUUCGAGGCCAAGCGCCACCAGCACUAGACAACAAACUUGCUAUGGAUAAUCUCGAUGUCGACAUCACCCCAGAUAACAUUGACCGAUCACAAAGAAUAGGAGCCUGCGGAAGAGUUGAUAGGACAGGUCAUCCAAUCCUUCGAAUUAUCAUUGUAACAUACGGACCAAGAGCGCGUAUCUACGAGGCAAGAUCGGAUCUAAAAUCAACCUACAUCAACAUCCACUAGAAUCUAACUACGUAGUUAUUGAUCAUGGGUGGGCGAGGCACAAUCUGCAUGUUGCCGUGUGAAAAUUUUUUUUUCCUACGCAGGUAAUUCCUUUUAUGACUACGAAAAUAUAGUAUGCAUUUACAUUUAUUUUUGCAAUUGCAACAGCAUUUGCAAUAUGCACACUAGCAGGAGGAUGGUGGCUGGCAGUGUUUUUGACAUUCUGGACGAUUCUGUAGUGUUGACAAUUUGUCCAUGUUUAUUUUUUCAACUGUGAGAAGCUGUAGGAGAUCAGCCCGUAAACAUUUGCUUUAUUUAUUUAUUUAUUAAGUCUUCUUUAUACAGGGUAGCCCUUUCAAUAUCGAGUAUUGUUCUGCCAAGGGGCCCUGUCUAUACAGAUAAAACAUUAAAAAUAUACACAAUAAAUUACAAAGUAAAACCUUACAUAAUACAUGAUAGUAAUAAACAAAACAAAAUAGUAUCAUACUUCGGAUAUUAAUCACAUUCACGCAUAAACAUCCACACACACGUGCACACACCCUCACGCACACACACGCCUACUUAAAGAUAAAUAUAUUACAUUAAAAGAACAACAGAAAACACCAGAAAAGAUCAAGCUGGUUUGAGAGUAAAAAGCCUACAAUGCCUCUUAAAUACAUGAGCUGAGGUUAUUGCACGGAUAUCAGACUGCAAGUUGGUCCAAGUUAACGAACCAUUAUUAUGUAGCGAGCGUUUAAAAUAAUCAGUUUUUGGUUUGGUAAAAAAGAGUGGGGACUGAGCAGCAUAUCGUGUAUAAAUAAAUUUUUUUUUUGGAAUUAUGAUAUUUUUCAAAUAUGAUGGCAUUAAAUUAUUUAGAAUUUUGUACCUAAAUAGGGCGGUUUGAUAUUUAAUUCUUUGUUUAAGUGUUUGCCAGGAAAGUUCAGAUAACGUGGAUAAGUGAGGGGUAUAAAAAUCUGCAUUAAGUAUUAACCUUGCAAACCGGUUUUGUAAUCGGUGGACUGUUGUUACAUAACAUAUUGCACUCUGCCCCCAUAUUACAUUACAAUAAUCAAUGUGCGGUUAAACAAGGUUAUUAUACAUCAUUAAUAAAACUCGCUUGGACAAGAGGUACCGAAUCCGUCGUAUAAAACCAAUAGUUCUUGACAACUUAUUGCACACAUUAUUGAUAUGACAACUCCCACGCAGGUAAGGGUCUAUUAUCAAACCAAUAUAUUUAAAUUCAUUAACCUGUUCAAUUGCAUCAUUUUUCACAUAAGUAUUUAUCAUUUUAUUUUUUACUUUUGAUCUAGUCCCAAUUAACAUACAUUUGGUUUUCUUUACAUUUAUGUUUAAUAUAUUAUUGUCAAUCCAUUGAAGUAAUUUGUUUAUUGCACAUUGAAGGUAGUUUUGAAGUACUGAAACAUCUCUAUUUUGACAAAAUAAAGCAGUGUCGUCGGCAUAUACACACAAUUGAUAUUGCAAGCAUCAUUUAUGAAUAUUGAAAAUAAUAAAGGAGAAACCAUACUACCCUGGGGCACACCUUUCAAUAAAGCCCUAAAAUCUGACAAAAUAUUAUUAAAUUCAACACACUGUUCACGUCCAUGCAAGUAAUUAUAAAACCAAAUUGCCUAUGUUCCUUUAACGCCGUAGUUCGACAACUUAGAUAAUAAAAGUUUGUGUGAAACUGAGUCAAAGGCACUCUUUAAAUCAAUAAAAACAACCCCAGUCACCAGACCAUCUUCAAUAUUGCGUAAUAAAUAUUCAUUAACAUCAACCAAAACAGUACUUGUUGAAUGAAGUGGACGGAAUCCCGACUGUAAGGGGCUGAGUAGAGAGUUGUCUGUGAAAUAAUUAUAAAGUUGAGAGUGUAUUGCCUUUUCAAGGAUUUUCAAGGAUGUGAGGGAGAACGGAAAUGGGUCUGUAGUGAACGAACUCUUGUUUACUGCCGCUUUUAAAAAUAGGAGUUACACGUGCCCUUUUCCAAUCUUUCGGAAUACAACCUGUACAUAAAGACGUAUUGAAAAAUGUGAGCGAUUACGUCACAAAGUGGGUGUAAAGAAUCUAAACCUGGUGCUUUAAACUUAUUUAGCUCCUUAAAUCCGUCGUCAACCGUGAUGGGCUCGAACUUGAAAGAUUCGGAGGUGAAUUGAUCAGCAUCUGCAUGUAUGUCUAUAUUCUGAUUAUUACAGCAAUUUGGUGUGAAGUGAUUAUUGAAUACAUUUGCAAUUUUUAGAGGAUAGCAUUCUAGUUUGUCAUUAAUAACAUCGCGCAUCCCAAGUUGAUUGGUUUCAGUAGUAGGUGCGAAUUCCUUUAGAGUUUUCCAUGUGUUUCUAGAGUUUGAUUUGUUGCUUUCAAAUUUAUUCAAAUAAUAGUCUUUUUCAUUUUUUUAUUCCAGUUAUUAACUUUGUUUCUAAUAGUUUGGUAUUGUUUCCAUAUUAAAAUAUUACCUUUAUCGAUGA